GAUGAAUGCUGGCGGCGUGCCUAACACAUGCAAGUCGAGCGGCAGCGCGAGUAGUUUACUACUUGGCGGCGAGCGGCGGACGGCUGAGUAACGCGUGGGAACGUGCCCCAAAGUGAGGAAUAACUGCCCGAAAGGGUGGCUAAUGCCGCAUAUGGUCUUCGGAUUAAAGGAUUUAUCCGCUUUGGGAGCGGCCCGCGUCGGAUUAGGUUGUUGGUGAGGUAAUGGCUCACCAAGCCGACGAUCCGUAGCUGGUCUGAGAGGAUGAUCAGCCAGACUGAGGCUGAGACACGGCCCAGACUCCUACGGGAGGCAGCAGUGAGGAAUCUUCCACAAUGGGCGAAAGCCUGAUGGAGCAACGCCGCGUGAAGGAUGAAGGCCCUCGGGUUGUAAACUUCUUUUAUAAGUGAAGAAUAUGACGGUAACUUAUGAAUAAGCACCGGCUAACUACGUGCCGGCCGCCGCCGUAAUAC
rnacentral:rRNA from 1 species